rnacentral:rRNA from 1 species
AUUGAACGCUGGCGGCAUGCUUUACACAUGCAAGUCGAACGCGAAAGCGGGGGCAACCCUGCCGGUAGAGUGGCGAACGGGUGAGUAACACAUCGGAACGUAUCCUCGCGUGGGGGACGAACCAGUCGAAAGACGGGCUAAUACCGCAUACGCUGGAGACAGGAAAGCAGGGGACCCGCAAGGGCCUUGUGCGCAUGGAGCGGCCGAUGUCUGAUUAGCUAGUUGGUGGGGAAAGGCUCACCAAGGCGACGAUCAGUAGCUGGUCUGAGAGGAUGAUCAGCCACACUGGGACUGAGACACGGCCCAGACUCCUACGGGAGGCAGCAGUGGGAAUUUUGACAAUGGGGGCAACCCUGAUCCAGCCAUGCCGCGUGAGGGAAGAAGGCC